GUCUAUGGCCAUGCCACCCUGAACAAGCCGGAUCCCGGCUGAUCUCAGAAGCUAAGCAGGGUCGGGCCUGGUUAGUCCUUGGAUGGGAGACCACCUAGGAAGACCAGGUGCUGUAGGCA
rnacentral:rRNA from 1 species